GACGAACGCUGGCGGCGUGCUUAACACAUGCAAGUCGAACGGAAAGGCCCUGCUUUUGUGGGGUGCUCGAGUGGCGAACGGGUGAGUAACACGUGAGUAACCUGCCCUUGACUUUGGGAUAACUUCAGGAAACUGGGGCUAAUAUCGGAUAGGAGCUCCUGCUGCAUGGUGGGGGUUGGAAAGUUUCGGCGGUUGGGGAUGGACUCGCGGCUUAUCAGCUUGUUGGUGAGGUAGUGGCUUACCAAGGCUUUGACGGGUAGCCGGCCUGAGAGGGUGACCGGCGACAUUGGGACUGAGAUACGGCGCAGACUCCUACGGGAGGCAGCAGUGGGGAGUCUUGCACAGUGGGCGGGAGCCUGAUGCGGCGACGCCGCGUGCGGGAUGACGGCCUUCGGGUUGUAAACCGCUUUCGCCUGUGACGAAGCGUGAGUGACGGUAAUGGGUAAAGAAGCACCGGCUAACUACGUG
rnacentral:rRNA from 1 species